GACGAACGCUGGCGGCGUGCUUAACACAUGCAAGUCGAACGGUGAACUUGCUUCGGUGGGGGAUCAGUGGCGAACGGGUGAGUAACACGUGGGCAACCUGCCCUCAGCUCUGGGAUAACUCCAAGAAAUUGGGGCUAAUACCGGAUAUUUCCGCUGACCGCAUGGUCUGGUGGUGGAAAGAUUUAUCGGCUGGGGAUGGGCCCGCGGCCUAUCAGCUUGUUGGUGGGGUAGNGGCCUACCAAGGCGACGACGGGUAGCCGGCCUGAGAGGGUGACCGGGCCACACUGGGACUGAGACACGGCCCAGACUCCUACGGGAGGCAGCAGUGGGGAAUAUUGCGCAAUGGGCGAAAGCCUGACGCAGCGACGCCGCGUGGGGAUGACGGCC
rnacentral:rRNA from 1 species